GCCGGGGUAGUUCAGUGGUAGAACGCCUGAUUGUGGAUCAGGAGGUCAUGGGUUCGAUACCCGUCCCCGGUACCA
rnacentral:tRNA from 2 species